GUUCCCGUGCUGGGAAAACAGGUUUUGCAGCUGUUUGAGCUAAGAUUUCCAAGUUAUUCACAUAAUGAAAACCUAUACUUUGUUUCGGUCGAGUUCCCCAUUCAAAUGCAUGUAACAGUGAGAAACGCACUGUCUUGGCGAAAGAAAGCGUUUUUGUACAACUUCAUAGAAAUAGCUGUAACUUUUGAUAGAAGACUCAGACAAACAUGUUUAUGGCUUUAUCUUAUAGAACUCAAGGUCUCCGUGCUGGGAAAACAGGUUUUGCAGCUGUUUGAGCUAAGAUUUCCAAGUUAUUCACAUAAUGAAAACCUAUACUUUGUUUCGGUCGAGUUCCCCAUUCAAAUGCAUGUAACAGUGAGAAACGCACUGUCUUGGCGAAAGAAAGCGUUUUUGUACAACUUCAUAGAAAUAGCUGUAACUUUUGAUAGAAGACUCAGACAAACAUGUUUAUGGCCUUAUAUUAUAGAACUCAAGGUCUCCGUGCUGGGAAAACAGGUUUUGCAGCUGUUUGAGCUAAGAUUUCCAAGUUAUUCACAUAAUGAAAACCUAUACUUUGUUUCGGUCGAGUUCCCCAUUCAAAUGCAUGUAACAGUGAGAAACGCACUGUCUUGGCGAAAGAAAGCGUUUUUGUACAACUUCAUAUAAAUAGCUGUAACUUUUGAUAGAAGACUCGGAUACACAUGUUUAUGGCUUUAUCUUAUAGAACUCAAGGUCUCCGUGCUGGGCAAACAGGUUUUGCAGCUGUUUGAGCUAAGAUUUCCAAGUUAUUCACAUAAUGAAAACCUAUACUUUGUUUCGGUCGAGUUCCCCAUUCAAAUGCAUGUAACAGUGAGAAACGCACUGUCUUGGCGAAAGAAAGCGUUUUUGUACAACUUCAUAUAAAUAGCUGUAACUUUUGAUAGAAGACUCAGACAAACAUGUUUAUGGCUUUAUCUUAUAGAACUCAAGGUUCCCGUGCU
ensembl:lncRNA